AAUAAGACGCUUGUCAAAGAAGGAAAGGGAAGAAAAGAGGAAAGUAAUUCACUAAUAAUAACCUAGCUGUAUGCACAGGUUCAUUCUCCACCAAGUCUUGUUUUUUGUCAUACACAAAGAGAAACAGUUAUACUCAGGGCUCACAGGUCCACCUCCACUUCACACGUUAAUUUAGUCUCCAAACAUUUGUGUUAGGACCUGCAGCCACAAUAACACAGAAGAUGCAGGGUCUGUGUUCCAGGAGCUUAUGAUUUAGUGGUGGAAACUCAGAAAUGCAGGGCUUUCUUUCUUUCACCCACUGUGAAGCACAAAAGGCAGGACGAGUUCCGAUGUCAACUGUCCACGCAGGAUCUGGGCCUUGCCCACUGAAGGCUGGCUUUAAAGCUGCCAGCCCAGAGUCCUGCCCACGGAGGGGCUGAGCUGGAUUUCUCACUCUAGUUGCAGUAAACUUUCCUGCCCCUUCACGUGUUCCUCCCAGCAAGGCUGAGACGACCCAAACUCCGGCUGCCCGAGGAGAGGGACCGCGGGGCCGCCCGACCCUUCGUCACCGAGCGGGAUCGCCGCCCUCCAGGCCGCCCACCUCCAAUGCUCCGGGCGGCGCCGCCCGCGCCUCUGCAGACCCGGGACGAAAGCGGGCGUCGGGCGCUCAGGGGGAGCAGCGCGCGCCUAUCCGCCGGCCCGCCCCCACCCCCGCACGACGUCACCCGGAUCACUCUUUUUUGACUGUGUGUCAGUAAUGCCAGACUCCGUGAUGAAGCCGAGGCACGAAGGAGAAAGCCGUAUUGUGUGCCAGCACUGGGCCCUACACGUUCUGCAUCUUACCUUCACGAAAACACUCUGAGGUGGCUCAGCCUGCCAGAGCAAAAGUAAAACCACAGAGAGAAGAUUUAGAUCAGCCUCUUGAUCGCCCUGCUGCUAUUUUACAGUUUGAGGAGGGGUGGAACAUCAAGCACUUGAAACUGUCAUCUACACAUUCCUUCUCAGAAUAAAGCAGCAUUAGCAUGUA